rnacentral:rRNA from 1 species
UACGAAGGGGGCUAGCGUUGUUCGGAAUUACUGGGCGUAAAGCGCACGUAGGCGGCUUUGUAAGUUAGAGGUGAAAGCCUGGAGCUACAACUCCAGAACUGCCUUUAAGACUGCAUCGCUUGAAUCCAGGAGAGGUGAGUGGAAUUCCGAGUGUAGAGGUGAAAUUCGUAGAUAUUCGGAAGAACACCAGUGGCGAAGGCGGCUCACUGGACUGGUAUUGACGCUGAGGUGCGAAAGCGUGGGGAGCGAACAGG